rnacentral:piRNA from 1 species
CAAAGGAGGAUUUAGUAGUAAAU